GCCGGGGGUGGUGGCUCACACCUGUAAUCCCAGCCUUUGGGAGGCUGAGGUGGGUGGAUCACUUGAGGUCAGGAGUUCAAGACCAGCCUGACCAACAUGGAGAAACCCCACCUCUC
ensembl:misc_RNA Metazoa_SRP Metazoan signal recognition particle RNA